rnacentral:rRNA from 1 species
UACCUAGAGUUUGUAGACUUCGGUCUGCUACCUCUUACCCAUGUCUUUUGAGUACCUUCGUUUCCUCGGCGGGUCCGCCCGCCGAUUGGACAACAUUCAAACCCUUUGCAGUUGCAAUCAGCGUCUGAAAAAACAUAAUAGUUACAACUUUCAACAACGGAUCUCUUGGUUCUGGCAUCGAUGAAGAACGCAGCGAAAUGCGAUAAGUAGUGUGAAUUGCAGAAUUCAGUGAAUCAUCGAAUCUUUGAACGCACAUUGCGCCCCUUGGUAUUCCAUGGGGCAUGCCUGUUCGAGCGUCAUUUGUACCUUCAAGCUCUGCUUGGUGUUGGGUGUUUGUCUCGCCUCUGCGUGUAGACUCGCCUUAAAACAAUUGGCAGCCGGCGUAUUGAUUUCGGAGCGCAGUACAUCUCGCGCUUUGCACUCAUAACGACGACGUCCAAAAGUACAUUUUUACACUCUUGACCUCGGAUCAGGUAGGGAUACCCGCUGAACUUAAGCAUAUCAAUAAGCGGAG